UACGUAGGUGGCAAGCGUUGUCCGGAUUUACUGGGCGUAAAGGAUGCGUAGGCGGAUAUUUAAGUCAGAUGUGAAAUACCCGGGCUCAACUUGGGUGCUGCAUUUGAAACUGGAUAUCUAGAGUGCGGGAGAGGUAAGUGGAAUUCCUAGUGUAGCGGUGAAAUGCGUAGAGAUUAGGAAGAACACCAGUGGCGAAGGCGCCUUACUGGACCGUAACUGACGCUGAGGCAUGAAAGCGUGGGGAGCAAACAGG
rnacentral:rRNA from 1 species